rnacentral:misc_RNA from 1 species
AGCAGCCUGUCGCUCUCCAUAUGAAUGAUCAGAAAGAUUAUCGCCAUUAUUAGCUUCACUUUUUCUGAAAGUAUGCCAUUUGGAGUCCUUUUGGUUGAAGAUUCUAAACAAAUUAACGAUUCUACCCCACAUUGAAUCAUAGGGUCUCAAGUCUUCCCAAUGUUGGUGAACAAACAUGGUUAUGUAUGUUGUAAGAGCUAAAAGUGAGGUCCCUCCAGUAAUCGCAAAAAGAACCCAG